rnacentral:rRNA from 1 species
GACGAACGCUGGCGGCGUGCUUAACACAUGCAAGUCGAACGGAAAGGCCCUGCUUUUGUGGGGUGCUCGAGUGGCGAACGGGUGAGUAACACGUGAGUAACCUGCCCUUGACUUUGGGAUAACUUCAGGAAACUGGGGCUAAUACCGGAUAGGAGCUCCUGCUGCAUGGUGGGGGUUGGAAAGUUUCGGCGGUUGUGGAUGGACUCGCGGCUUAUCAGCUUGUUGGUGGGGUAGUGGCUUACCAAGGCUUUGACGGGUAGCCGGCCUGAGAGGGUGACCGGCCACAUUGGGACUGAGAGACGGCCCAGACUCCUACGGGAGGCAGCAGUGGGGAAUAUUGCACAAUGGGCGGAAGACUGAUGAAGCAACGCCGCGUGCGGGAUGACGGCCUUCGGGUUGUAAACCGCUUUCGCCUGUGACGAAGCGUGAGUGACGGUAAUGGGUAAAGAAGCACCGGCUAACUACGUG